rnacentral:rRNA from 1 species
GUGAAAUUGUUGAAAGGGAAACGAUUGAAGUCAGUCGUACCGACGAGAAAUCAGCUUUUCGAAUGUGCAUUUGUGGGCGUAUGAAAGCUUUACAGCCUUGUUGUUUGCAAUAUGUAUGUUUCUUUGGUGUACUUUUUCGUAUGGUAGGUCAAUGUCAGUUUUGAUCGCCAUAAAAUGAUUGGAGGAAUGUAGCUUUGGCCUCGGUGGAAGUGUUAUAGCCUUUGGUAAAUGUGGUGAUUAGGACCGAGGAUUACAACGAAUACCUUUUAGGCUAUCCGUCUGACCUCUGAAAGUUACUUGGGUGCCGAAAGCUUGCUUACGGCCAUUUAAGUUGACGGUCAAAAGGUUAGAACGUGAUUACAUUCGUUAAGGACGUUGACGUAAUGGCUUUAAACGAC